rnacentral:pre_miRNA from 1 species
CUUCUACUCCCUCCGUCCGAAAAAGCUUGUCCCUCAAAUGGAUGUAUCUAGCAUCAAGUUAGUGUUAGAUACAUCCAUUUAAGGAACAAGCUUGGGACAAGCUUUUUCGGACGGAGGGAGUAUAUU